rnacentral:rRNA from 1 species
AUUGAACGCUGGUGGCAGGCCUAACACAUGCAAGUCGAACGAGUGGCGGACGGGUGAGUAAUGUCUGGGAAACUGCCUGAUGGAGGGGGAUAACUACUGGAAACGGUAGCUAAUACCGCAUACCAUCGGAUGUGCCCAGAUGGGAUUAGCUAGUAGGUGGGGUAAAGGCUCACCUAGGCGACGAUCCCUAGCUGGUCUGAGAGGAUGACAAGGCACACUGGAACUGAGACACGGUCCAGACUCCGACGGGAUGCAGCAGUGGGGAAUAUUGCACAAUGGGCGCAAGCCUGAUGCAGCCAUGCCGCGUGUAGGAAGAAGGCCUUCGGGUUGUAAAGUACUUUCAGCGGGGAGGCGUUACCCGCAGAAGAAGCACCGGCUAACUCCGUGCCAGCCGCCGCGGUAAUAC